rfam:Dermacoccus sp. PE3 Contig2, whole genome shotgun sequence.
UGGUGAUAGCCUGCAUGCGAUCUUCGGCUCGUGCCGGAGAGCCGAGAACGAGGGGAAGCCGGUCGAAUUCCGGCGCUGACCCGCAGCCGUAGAUCAGUUCGCUGAUGAGCCGGAAUGCCUCGUCUCGGCUGUGUCUGAUCA